GGUGGUGUGCCCAAGGCCCAGGGGACCAAGGCUAAGGUCAAGGUCCAUCAUUCAUGAGGGCUUCAUGGAGGCUCUAGGGCUAGUUGGGCCCUAGGUUGAAGGGCUGUGGGCCUUUCGGGUUCUUGAGGUCUAGGUUAUGUGGGCCUCAAGAGACCAACUCUUUAUGGGCCAGGUCUAGGCCCAGGAUAGGUGAGAUUAGGUCGAGUC
rnacentral:lncRNA from 1 species